AGUGAACGCUAGCUACAGGCUUAACACAUGCAAGUCGAGGGGUAACGAGAGGAAAGCUUGCUUUCCUUGUCGACGACCGGCGCACGGGUGAGUAACGCGUAUCCAACCUGCCCCCAACUAGGGAAUAACCUUGCGAAAGUAAGACUAAUACCCUAUAAUUUCCUCAGAUGACAUCUGACGAGGAAUAAAGAUUUAUCGGUUGUGGAUGGGGAUGCGUCUGAUUAGCUUGUUGGCGGGGUAACGGCCCACCAAGGCAACGAUCAGUAGGGGUUCUGAGAGGAAGGUCCCCCACAUUGGAACUGAGGCACGGUCCAAACUCCUACGGGAGGCAGCAGUGAGGAAUAUUGGUCAAUGGGCGGAAGCCUGAACCAGCCAAGUAGCGUGCAGGAUGACGGCCCUAUGGGUUGUAAACUGCUUUUAUACAGGAAUAAAGUUAGCAACGUGUGGUUAUUUGUAGGUACUGUAUGAAUAAGGACCGGCUAAUUCCGUGCCAGCAGCCGCCGUAAGAC
rnacentral:rRNA from 1 species